ACCAGCUGUUGUAGUUCCACCAACCAAAAAUGCAUCCUUCCAUCGGACUGCUGCGUUGACCAUGUCUGCUUGGGGUCAAGUAAAUUUGGUGGUACUUGCAAUAAACUAUCAGGAUCAGUAAUUCACAGAUUCCAAAAAAAAACCACUAGGAGGAGAUGGAAGUUGUUAACUACCCCCUCCCCCCCAGCUCAAAACGAGUUUCAG